AAUCUCUCCUCACACGGAAACAAAAAACAAAAACCAUUGAUAUACAAUUUGGUUCAAAGCCAAAUAAAAAUAUGGGGAUAUAGCUCAGCUGGGAGAGCAUCCUGCCUUGCACGUCAGGGGGUCAAGAGUUCGAAUCUCUUUAUCUCCACCAUGCAAAUUCGCAAGCGAACUAUAGUAAAAAGAACCAAAAAAACUAAAAUAGCAAUACAAUAUUUUCCAGUCAAGAAAGAA
rnacentral:tRNA from 1 species